rnacentral:piRNA from 1 species
UGAAGUCCAUAGUGCUUAGGACCACCGAGC